rnacentral:rRNA from 1 species
UUAGCUAGUUGGUAGGGUAACGGCUUACCAAGGCGACGAUGUCUAGGGGCUCUGAGAGGAGAAUCCCCCACACUGGUACUGAGACACGGACCAGACUCCUACGGGAGGCAGCAGUAAGGAAUAUUGGUCAAUGGGCGGAAGCCUGAACCAGCCAUGCCGCGUGCAGGAUGACUGCCCUAUGGGUUGUAAACUGCUUUUGUCCAGGAAUAAACCUUUAUACGUGUAGGAAGCUGAAUGUACUGGAAGAAUAAGGAUCGGCUAACUCCGUGCCAGCAGCCGCGGUAAUACGGAGGAUCCGAGCGUUAUCCGGAUUUAUUGGGUUUAAAGGGUGCGUAGGCGGCCUAUUAAGUCAGGGGUGAAAUACGGUGGCUCAACCAUCGCAGUGCCUUUGAUACUGAUGGGCUUGAAUCCAUUUGAAGUGGGCGGAAUAAGACAAGUAGCGGUGAAAUGCAUAGAUAUGUCUUAGAACUCCGAUUGCGAAGGCAGCUCACUAAGCUGGUAUUGACGCUGAUGCACGAAAGCGUGGGGAUCGAACAGGAUUAGAUACCCUGGUAGUCCACGCCCUAAACGAUGAUAACUCGAUGUUGGCGAUAGACAGCCAGCGUCC